rnacentral:lncRNA from 1 species
GUCUUCAUUUGCGCUAGACAAAAGACAAACAAUCCUUCCUUGAAUGGACCCACUCUUCUUUUUUCACUCAUCUCCUCUCACUGAUCUCCCUGCUGGUGGUGGCGGAUAGAAGGCAGAGAUGUGGUCAACACCAAAUGAGAUUAUGUUCUGGGAAUUCAGAGAUUACAGUCUGAAGAAUUCAAGAUAAGGUAUGACCUCCAUAAAGAACCUUCAUAUCAUCUUGCCCUGCAUGAAAUAUAUUAGAAGCCUUUGCUCUGGUCUUUCAUGGUACUUUUAAAGGAUAUUAUCAUUUACAAAAUGGAAUACCAAUGACUUUUCACAAGUGGUCUAUCAACUAAGCAUGUACUUAAGUAAAUAUUUUCAGAGGAUUUCAUUAACCUCUGAGUGAAUAGUUGAAAAAAAAGAAUGAAACAGAUAUAAGUCCAUGUUUUUAUUUGUAAAUAAAUGUAUUGCCAAAAUUACAUACAAAUAACAAAUAAUGUCUCGAGUGACAUGCAAUGAUCAAAAUCCUCAAAAGAAUACUUUUGUUUAGUAGAGAUUUGAACAAAUAAACUACAAUUUAAGGA